rnacentral:tRNA from 1 species
UUCUAUUCGUUGUGUUGUAACAGAAACAG